CGACGAUGGGCGGGGCGAGGGGUGGGGUCCGUGCCCCACGUGCUGGCGGGAAGGAGGGGUGGGGGAGCUCUUUGUUCUCGCGCUGCUCGCCUGAGCGGGCGGUUUUGUGCUCUCUUUGCCCGUCUGUCUAGCUGAGUGGGCAGCGGGGCUGGAGUUUGAGGUGCUCCGGCCGCCGCCUCACAGUGACUGGGGAGAGGAAGGAGGCGAGGGGCCCGACGGGAGCGGGGAGGAGCCUCGCGUCUCAGUGCUGCUGAGUUUGAAUCAGUUCGAAAGUGGGAGCUGUAACGGUUUUAACAGUCGUGCUGCUGCUUCCGCGCGCGGCAGAGAGGGGAGGGGACGGGACGAGACGGAGAACUGUGGGAGAGGCGCGACUGCGACCAGGCGGGAAGAGCCAGGCGGGGAUGGGGGGGUGGUGCUGGCAGGAGCUGCUUACCUCAGCAGGGUCCGCUCCCUGCCUGUCGUUUCCGCGGUAGGCUCUCCUUCCCGGCCUCGCGCCGUGCCGAGUGUUGCCUGGCUGAGUCACUAACCAGAGUACGUGAUGCAUCCUCCUGCCAUGUCAUCCGACCUUUGUGCACCCAAACCUAGCACGCAUCUGCCUUUUUGUUUCAUGCAGUUCCUUACGAUUUUUGGUGCCUUGCUGUUCUGCACCCAGCAUGGAUUUUUCGCUGUCAAAAUCCCAUUGUGUCCCAUCUUGGCAAUGGUGGUAAAUUACAGCAACAGCAAGGUGCCCGUUCUGCAUACGGCUGGGAUCCUGUUGCUAGUGGUAUGCUGUCUCCAGCUUAAGGUUGCUACCAUUUUCCCCUGUUUCUAUUCUGCGACCCACGCUCAGUCACGUUGACAAGGAUGUACUUAAAAUCUCAAGGAUUCAUUCCUCUUUAGCCUUCUGUUGUCUCACUGUUUGGCUGCUGCAGCCCUUCUUUGUUGAUGAAAGACAAAAUUGCCAAGAUAAUUUUCCCACCAUGAUCUUUCAUCCACACUUGUAACCAUCUCUCCUUUCUGUGCCUCCUGUGUUAAGCACUACUUCUGAGGUAGAACAGAUUGUGAGCCUUGUCCUCUCACUGUCUGUUCCCAAUAUUUCUCAUUUGUGAGUAUUGCCUUCCUUUGUGAAUCACUUGUGACACCUUCAACUACGGUCUCAUCUUUGUGUGAAGCCCAAAAAUAAGCACUGUCCACCAUGACGGAGUUCUGAGUGAUAAAAAUCCUGUGACAGAAGAUCACUAACACAGCUUCAUUCCUAAAUCUUUCAGCUGUGUUAUAGGCCAAAUGAGGCUCAGAGUUCUUUUAAUGCGGAACAGAAAUGUUUUCUUAUGUUUACAUGUCACAGAAUGAUAUAUUGUCAUACUCUUUCUCUGCUUUUACUAGAGUAGGUGUAUGGGAACUGUUGAAUCACGGCCUGAACCUCUGAUUGACCCCCUGAGGCGUGUGCUGAGUCAGCUGCAGGGGCACAGGUGAAUGCAAUUGGCUCCACCCCUCCUAGACCCCAUUUAAGGGCUGACUCAGAAGGAGGAAGGCUCUCUACCUGGAGAUUACUCCUCUUGGAGCCCUUCUGUGAGCCCAAGACAUGGGGAGAGAAAGAGGAUGCACACCCUGCCUUUUUUACACCUUACCACUGCAUUGCCCUACAAGCAAAGCCUUUUGUACUGAAAAUAAUAUCCAGUAGGAUGUUCAGAAGUAAGAUAUUUCUUUUAAUUUAUUUAGUUUUGUAAUGCUGUUUUAUGUCUGCAUUGGAAGAUGUGCCUCACAUUCAAUAUUCAUUCAAUUCCUAACUCUAAUCUGUGCUUGUGAAGGUAUCUUGGCUUGUUCUGUAGAUUAAAUCCUGAACUUCAGUCCAUGUGAAUUUGACAAGGUUUUACAAAAUGUUUAUGUAGAUGUAGAACUAAAAGGGAAGCCUAAAAUUAUGAAUUAGUGAAGACAUAGAAUUGUUAUGCACUGCAAUAAUUACAUAGUAUGAGUCAGCAGGUACCCAACUGGAGCUGACCACUUGUUACAUUGUUACAAAAAACCACUUUUGUUGUGUUAAUUUUUAUCAAUACUGAAUGACAAUGUAGCCAUUUUGAGAUCAAAUAUGUUUUACAGUGUUUUUCUGUAGAUUCCUGAUGGCACUUAGGAACUAAUUUCCCUGACAGAAAUGUAAUAUGUCCCAUUUCACAAACUAUUUCAUAGAAUCACAGAAUUGUGAGGGUUGGAAGAG
ensembl:lncRNA